rnacentral:lncRNA from 1 species
CUGCCUCUGCUCUUGUGUUUCUUUCCUAAGAUUUCUCUCCGGUGCUGGCACCUUCAGCCCUGCUGGGGAGAGGCCCAACAGGCCAGCAGGGUCGCUCCCGAACGGAGGCACCGGGACACCCCGUCCCUGGCUUUGCUACUGGUUUUUAGGCCAAACGAGGGCUGCACGAUGGAGGGCUGCGUGAUGGAGGAAAGCCCCUGGCUCCCUGGGGAGACGGAGCCUGCCUCAGCGUCCCAGGAAAGGCGAAGCUCCCCGCUGGGCUCCGCCGGCGCCCCGGCUCCCGCGCGGCACCGCCGGGGAAAGGAAACCGCUACGGGGAAGUGGAGAGAACCCUGCAACAGCCUGAAAUUUGGCUUCCCCGGAGAAAACAGUGAGAUCAAACAGCAGCACGUUGGCCCCGCUCGCUCUGACGCCGGGGUUAGUCAUCGGGGUGACUUUUAGGCUGAGCGAGCGGAGCAUGCGGUUCCUCGAGACGCAGCAGCUUCUCGCUGGGUGUUCGGCAGCAUUUUUCUGAUGGAGAACUGACCUCAGAAACAUUUCUGAGUAAAUCAUCAACUGGGAAGAAUGAGCUCAGCUUGCUGGAGUUGCCAAGAGUUUUGUGGUCCUGGCAUGCAUCGUCGAGGCCGGGGAAGGCUGCGCCGGCGACGGGUCGGGUCCGGGUCGGGGUCCUCUGUGGUGGCAGAGUGCUGCUGUGUUUUAGGAGCUGCCGUAAUCCCUGGCUCCUCAGAGACGGAGAGAAACCUCUUGGGUCAAGCCCUAGCCCCAUGUGAAGCCAGGAUCAGCUUGCUGCCCACGGGUCGCUUGGGUGUGUAGAUGCCGUUGCUGUAAAGCGGCAGAGACUGGAGAUUAAGUGACUUGCCAGGGCCCUGCAGCAGAUUGGGGCAGACCCAAACCCAGCAGCCCCCUGUCCGGGCUUUUGUGCCUUAGGUGGGAAGUGAUGCCCUUUGCUCUCCCCCAGGAGACCCCUCCGCCACGGCCGUCCCCUGGCUGCCCCGUGCUGCUGCCCUGCGUCACACCAGCGUCUCGCUGGGGAGCCGCGCUGGGGGCUGCUCCCGCGUCAGCCCCGCAGCUGGGGGGCCGGGCGGGGGCCCAC